AUCCUGCCCUAUGCAAGCUUGCUAUCUUUUGAGAAUUAUAAUUGGAAAGCCCAAAAUGUUUCUCGGAAACUCUGUGUUCAUCAUCAGUUGUGCAAAUGGAAGAAAUGAGUUCUGCCAGAUGAAUCCCACAUUCACUUUGACAUAAACUUCACUGGACUUUUUGCUCUGAUGUCCAGCAUUCCCUAAAACAAAAUCUUAAUCAGAUGAGAUGUUGACAUGCUAAACUAAAGACUGGAAUGGACAAGCAAUAAAAAAAAAAAACUCCAUCCACAUAAGAUGAAGGUGCUGUUGAUGGAUUAUUUAAUUUGGCCAAGAAGACAAUAGUCUGCCUGUAUUAAAUGAAGCUGUAUGUCUGCUAUGAUAUGUUUUAUCCAAUUUUCUUUUUAGCUGUUGAUGUUUUUCUAAGCCACUUUGAAAGCCACAGAUUAAAAAUUAACGAGGUACUAUUAAAUAAAAACAAGAUAAUGUUACAGGCAGAAAAUUGAACCAUAAUCUUAAUGGGGCACUGUAGAACAACAGAUAAAUAUAAUCCUUUGGGAAAUGUCCAAAGAAAAGUCUUGGCAAAAGCACAGCCUGGAGGUGGUACAGGAGAAAAGGUGAUGUUUCCGGAAUAAGUAACAAAGAAAAGAGGAAAGCAUUAUGCACAUCUGAAAUAUGAAUUUAGAAAUCCUGAGGCAGCUUGGGCUGGCUCUCAAAACAAGUGCCAUCUACAGGUAGUCCUCAAUUUACAACAGUUUAUUUAGUGACUGUUCAAAGUUACAAUGGCACUGAAAAAUGUGACUUAUGACUGUUUUUCAAACUUACGACCUUUGCACUCUCCCCAUGAUCAUGUGAUCAAAAUUCAGAUGCAUGGCAACUAGUUCAUAUUUAUGACCAUUGCUGUGUCCCGGGGUCACGUGACACUGUUUUGUGACCUUCUGACAAGCAAAGUCAAUGGGGAAGCCAGAUUCACUUAACAACCAUGUUACUAACUUAAUUGCAGUGAUUCACUUAACAGCUGUGGCAAGAAAGGUUGUAAAAUGGGCAAAACUCACUUAACAAAUGUUUCACUUAACAACAUAAUUUUUGGUCUCAGUUGUGGUUGUAAAUUGAGGAUUACCUAUAUUUAUUUCAAGAAAUCAUAGGUAGGAAAUUCAGAUGCUUUCUCACAAUAAUUAUAAUCUUAUGACUGCAUGUUAAACACAUUGUCCCUGUUAAAAUAGCAUGUUAAGAGGAUUCUAAUUAGCUUUUCCCCUGAAGUUCCAGUCAUCUUUGUGCACAGAGAUUUUUUUUUUAAAUAUGAGGAAUAUCCAAGCACAAAAUUUGCAUUUUGAAAUGAACAGCACCAGGAAAACUCAAAUUGCUUAAUUGAUUGCAUAGACUGGGUAUCAAAUCAAGGACAUUUUUUUUAAAUAAAGUGACAGGGAUGAGAUUUUUAAAAGUUUUCUUGCAAUCAGAAGAACAAAGUUUAACAUUACUCAGUUUUUAAUGCUAUAAUGGUCCCAGCAACGUCGUAUUGACCAAGGGAGUGAGCAGUGUUCAUAACUAAAUCAUGCUAGUUGGCUAUGAGCUUUCACAACAGAAGUACUAUUUCUCUGACCAAAAGUAUAUAAAAUUAACACGCAACUAUGAAUGACCCAUGCAAACUAAGAUGCUGGGAGAAAAAGAAAAGGCAGCAAUUUGAAGAAAUUGAAGAGAAUAAAGAGCAAAGCUGCUAAUUUGGAUUCAUGUGAAUUUUUUCAUUAGCUGCCAAUCUGCUGAAGGAUUGAUUUCUUUAAGUGCUUUUGCUGCUAAGUACCAGUAGUGUUUUUCUUUCACCGCUUUGCUCUUCCCUCUCUCUUUCUGCUUCCCUUAUAUGUAACUUUUAUCCUUGACUCUUUCCCCUAUUUUUAGCUGUAAAUAUGACAUUAGAAGGAGGAUAAUAUUAGGCUAGCUUUCUCCAACUUGAUGUCUUCCAGAUACACUGAGCUAGAACAGCCAACCUACUGGUGAGAAUGGGAGUUAGACUCCAACAUAUGUAAAGGCAGAUAUAUUUGACAAAUAAGCAGCAGUGAAAAUUGAAAUGAAUAUUUUGAAAUAAACCUUUAGCUGAAAAGCUAAGAAUAAUUGCUGGUGGGCUGAGUCAUAUAUCUCUCACCUUUCCACACUGAUGGGCUCUUCACUAACUUUUGCAUUGACGGAAAUCUAUGCCAAGCAUGAAAUAUAUUGUCUCCAUUGUCAAUCCCUUUCUUGUCUCUCUUGUGUCUGUUGCAAGCCAUUGCCAGUUUCCUGAAUUUCUAGCAAAGUAAUGGAUGGCAAAGCCUAAUAAAUGUUAUAGUCUU